AAUAGAUACCCCGGUAGUCCACGCCGUAAACGAUGAAUACUAGGUGUAGGGGUUGUCAUGACCUCUGUGCCGCCGCAAACGCAUUAAGUAUUCCGCCUGGGGAGUACGGUCGCAAGAUUAAAACUCAAAGGAAUUGACGGGGGCCCGCACAAGCAGCGGAGCAUGUGGUUUAAUUCGAAGCAACGCGAAGAACCUUACCUAGACUUGACAUCUCCUGAAUUACUCUUAAUCGAGGAAGUCCCUUCGGGGACAGGAAGACAGGUGGUGCAUGGUUGUCGUCAGCUCGUGUCGUGAGAUGUUGGGUUAAGUCCCGCAACGAGCGCAACCCUUAUUGUUAGUUGCUACCAUUAAGUUGAGCACUCUAGCAAGACUGCCCGGGUUAACCGGGAGGAAGGUGGGGAUGACGUCAAAUCAUCAUGCCCCUUAUGUCUAGGGCUACACACGUGCUACAAUGGCAAGUACAAAAAGAUGCAAUACCGCAAGGUGGAGCUAAACUUAAAAACUUGUCUCAGUUCGGAUUGUAGGCUGAAACUCGCCUACA
rnacentral:rRNA from 1 species